AUGACAUUCUCAUAUGUCGCUACUGGAUGGGAAGGUUCUGCGUCAGAUCAAGCAGUUCUAAGAUGGGCUGUUACCAGUGGGGGUUUUGUUGUUCCUGAAGGUAAAUUUUAUCUUGUUGAUUCUGGAUAUGCAAAUACUCCAAAAUUUAUUGCCCCGUACCAUGGAGAUCGUUAUCAUAUUGCUUCUUUUCGUGGAAGUAAUCGACGAUAUACUAGUGAGAAAGAUAUGUUCAAUCAUCUGCACGCACAACUACGAAAUGUUGUUGAGCGAACUUUUGGUGUUCUAAAAGCUCGCUUUCCAAUUUUAAGUAGGAAAGGAGGAAUUCCUUAUCCAUAUAAAACACAAGUCAAAAUUGUUAUGGCUUGUUGUAUUAUCCACAACUUCAUCCGGAAGGUUAAUCAUCAUGAUGAGUUGUUCGAGCUUUAUGAGCAUGGGGAAGCACAACAACAUGUUGACCAUGGUGAUCAGCAAAUUAGAGGGCAAGCAAGAGAAGAUGAACGAGCUGCUGGUGAGAGAGUUCGUGCAGGCAUUGCUCGACAGUUGUGGAGUAAUCAUCAACAGCGUUCCGCUCAACAACCAGAAGAUGAUUAA
rnacentral:rRNA from 1 species